rnacentral:lncRNA from 1 species
CUCCUCGUGAAGUAGGCAGACCCCAGCUUGCUGGGAUAAUAAUUCUCAUGCUAUUACACCGAUCUCUAGCCUCAUGUCUCAUUCAUAGGAGUCUCCUGCAAGUCAAGUCUUACAGCGUCAGCUCAAUCUCUCCCUGUCCUGUGCCUCAGGCCUGCGCCCAGUUCUCAGUAUCCUGACAAUGCAGGUAUCAUCAAAUGGAGGUCCCACAGAAAUCAGGAAAGUGAGGAAAAACCUGAGGAGAUGUGCCGGGAAGCUGGCCAGCGAUGUGAAGGAACAAAUUGGGAAAUGGGCCACUAAGAGCCUCAGUAAGCAGUAUACAGGAGACCGUGGGAAUUAAAAGCCCGUGCAAAGAAAAAUAAAGAUUUGGGCCAGUGGUGAGUAAACCUUGUAAAAAGGGACAAUGUAGGGUUGGGGAUUUAGCUCAGUGGUAGAGCGCUUGCCUAGCAAACGCAAGGCCCUGGGUUCGGUCCCCAGCUCCUGGGGGAAAAAAAAAGGGACAAUGUAAUAAUGGUAAAGUGUUUUUGUAUAUGUGUUCUUUUAUGCUUUUAGUCUUUGGACCCUGACUAGAGACAGUUUACACCCUAGACAUGAGAGAGAAUGGGUUUGAGGAAAACAGUCCUCCGGGACUCCCCGUGGAUGCUUUGAAGAAAGAAAAGGAAAAUGAGCUUAAGCUAUUUUGGAGCUCUCCUAGGGGACAGAAGGAGGGUGGGAGCCUCCUUGGCCGAUUGGAGAAGUGCUUAUUUCUGGUUCUAGGUCCUUUAGGAAGGAUAUCUGGGUCCCUUUGGUGUGGGAUGCCAUCUAGUUCUUUCCCUCUAUGUCUAUUGUCUGUCCUUGGUGCACCAAGCUGUCCAUGUAUGUCAAUCCAUGUCUGUGGUUUUUGCUUCUCAUUGUUUGAAUGUUUUGUGUUUCAUGUUUAAAUGAAAAAAUGGUUAAAACUUUAAAUGCUGGUUGAUUCACCCCUUGAUUUAGUUUUAACUCCUUUCAAGAAAGGAAAAAAUAAAUAAAAAGCAGUUUCAAUUGGCCUUUGCCCUACAUCUGUAGCUAGUAGCCUAGAUCAGCUGGAGAAACCCCUCCAAGUGGCUGAAUGUUUGCAGGAGCGGAUCUUAAAAGGGCCAGCAGUUUCACAGCUUCUAUGGUAAUGGGGCUGAUGGCUGUUUCUCUUAGAAAAAUCUCUGACUGUGAUUAUUGGAUUCAACAGGUGAUAAGGUGCUUCUCUUAAAUUACAGCAAGAAAAAUUAAAAAUGGUGUUUGGUUUAAAUAUUAAAGAUAUGUGUAGCCACUUCAUUUUUUGUUUCUGAUUGGUUGUAAAUGUAUAAUAUGCUGUACAGGUCUUGGUUACAGAUUACUGACUUUUAAGUUAUUGGGUAUGGUUAAAAAUGUGUAACGCUGGUAACAAAGUUGGCUUAAAACUGGAGUCAUUCUAGACAACACGUGGCAUGAACCAACCCAGGGAAACAGGUCUAGAUUGGGAUAAUAUUUUUAUGUAAACCAGACUUAUAAAAGAAUUUAGGGCAAUGUCUCUUUGUUGAGGUAUUAGAGCCUGCACCAUCGUUCGUUCAUAUGCAAGAAUUGGCAGUCAUACUUUAUAGCAUGAGGAAUGGACUUGGUGUUUUGAGGAGACUGGAUUUUGGAGAAUAGAUUGUUUGUUGGAGGUUGAGUUUUGCUUUCAAAAGCUGUGGUUGUGCUCUGGUGUUACAAGGAAAACUUAAAGAUUUCUAACUCACACAUAUUUGCAAUUUAAAGAAAAAUCAAACAGGUGGAGAUUGUUACAGGAUUUACGAAGGUUUGAUGAGGCUAUGGAACUUAUAAGAGCAUUACAGCCUGUUUGCUCACUCCAACUGCUAUUUCAAGAAAUACAUAUAGAAUUAUUAUAAAUUUAAGAGAUUGUUUUCAUGCUGUUUUUUAUAUAGAAAUUUAUUAGCUUAUCCCUCUGGAGAUAAUAUAAGCCUUUGCUCUUAUGCCACAAGCUUUUAAAAUCUGGGGAGUAGUUGUUGCUUCAGAAAAGAUUCAAAGGCAAUAUCCUUUAUAAUGUUUGACACAUCAGUUAUAUCCUAAAUAAAUUGUGACACAGAAAAUUCAAGUAAGAAAAGAUUAUUUACUUUAAACUAUUUUUAAAAGCUUCUAAGAUAUGUUAAUUGGCUAAGACUUCACCUUAAGUUCACCACAGGACUUAAGCCUUUGUUUGAUAUUCCCAAGGGAGAUGCAAAUUCUAUUCCUCUAGACAAUUAACAGAGGAGGGACUGAAUAGAUUUACAGAAGGUAAAGGAAGCUAGAUGUACAAAAUUGUAAGAUUGAGUCAUGGAACUCUUUUGAAAAAGAAC